GUUUGCUUCACUUUGAAAUGGGAGUGCGUUACAUUAGCUAGUUGGUAGGGUAAUGGCCUACCAAGGCGAUGAUGUAUAGCUGAGUUGAGAGACUGAACAGCCACACUGGGACUGAGAUACGGCCCAGACUCCUACGGGAGGCAGCAGUAGGGAAUUUUCCACAAUGGACGAAAGUCUGAUGGAGUGACACAGCGUGCAGGAUGAAGGUCUUCGGAUUGUAAACUGCUGUUAUAAGGGAAGAAAAGCUUAGGGAGGAAAUGCCCUAAGUAUGACGGUACCUUGUCAGAAAGCACCGGCUAACUAUGUGCCAGCAGCUGCGGUAAUACAUAGGGUGCAAGCGUUAUCCGAAAUUAUUGGGUGUAAAGAGUUCGUAGGUUGUUUGUUAAGUCAGAAGUUAAAUCCCGGGGCUCAACCCUGGCCCGCUUUUGAUACUAGCAAACUAGAGUUAUAAAGAGGUUAGUGGAAUUCCUAGUGAAGCGGUGAAAUGUGUAGAUAUUAGGAAGAACAUCAAUGGCGAAGGCAGCUAACUGGUUAUGUACUGACACUGAGGAACGAAAGCGUGGGGAGCAAACAGGAUUAGAUACCCUGGUAGUCCACGCCGUAAACGAUGAUCAUUAGCUGGUGGAAUUUUUCACUAGCGCAGCUAACGCAUUAAAUGAUCCACCUGAGUAGUAUGCUCGCAAGAGUGAAACUUAAAG
rnacentral:rRNA from 1 species